AGAGUUUGAUCCUGGCUCAGAACGAACGCUGGCGGCGUGGCUAAGACAUGCAAGUCGUACGGUAGGUUGUUUCGAUUGGGCGUAUAGUGGCGAACGGGUGAGUAAUAAAUAGGUAACGUACCCCGGGCACAGGGAUACCAUCGGGAGCUUGCUCCCUUUGCGAAAGUGAUGUUAAUACCUGAUGACAUCUUCGAGCGACAUCGCUCGAAGACCAAAGGGUGGGGACCUUCGGGCCUGCCGGCCUGGGAGCGGCCUAUUUCCUAUCAGCUUGUUGGUGAGGUAAAAGCUCACCAAGGCGACGACGGGUAGCCGGACUGAGAGGUUGAACGGCCACAUCGGGACUGAGACACUGCCCGGACACCUACGGGUGGCUGCAGUAACGAAUAUUCCGCAAUGGGCGAAAGCCUGACGGAGCGACGCCUCGUGGAGGACGAAUUCUUUCGGGAUGUAAACUCCUUUUAGGGUUCAGAAAGCAAGGGCGGUUAAUACCCGCCUGCGUUGAUCUAACCCAGAAAAAGCCUCGGCUAACUCCGUGCCAGCAGCCGCGGUAAUACGGAGGAGGCAAGCGUUGUUCGGAAUCACUGGGCUUAAAGCGCGUGUAGGCGGCUCGGCAAGUACUUUGUGAAAGCCCUCGGCUCAACCGAGGAAUUGCUUGGUAUACUGCCGGACUUGAGGCGGAUAGGGGUGCCUGGAACUCUAGGUGGAGCGGUGAAAUGCGUAGAUAUCUAGAGGAACGCCUGAGGCGAAAGCGGGGCACUGGGUCCGUCCUGACGCUGAGACGCGAAAGCGUAGGGAGCAAACGGGAUUAGAUACCCCGGUAGUCUACGCCGUAAACGAUGCGCACUAGGCUUUUUUGGUUAUUGACCCCAUCUGUGCUGCAGCAAAUGCGUUAAGUUGACCGCCUGGGGACUACGGCCGCAAGGCUAAAACUCAAAGGAAUUGACGGGGACCCGCACAAGCAGCGGAGCGUGUGGUUUAAUUCGAGGCUACGCGAAGAACCUUACCAGGGUUUGACAUGGCGGUGGUAGGAAAGUGAAAGCUGACCGACCCUUCGGGGAGCCGUCACAGGUGCUGCAUGGCUGUCGUCAGCUCGUGCCGUGAGGUGUUAGGUUAAGUCCUGUAACGAGCGCAACCCUCGUCGUUAGUUAUACGUGUCUAACGAGACUGCCGGUGAUAAGCCGGAGGAAGGUGGGGAUGACGUCAAGUCAGCAUGGCCUUUAUAUCCUGGGCUACACACACGCUACAAUGGCCGGUACAAUGGGUUGCGAAACCGCGAGGUGGAGCCAAUCCUCCAAAGCCGGUCUCAGUUCGGAUUGCAGGCUGCAACUCGCCUGCAUGAAGUCGGAGUUGCUAGUAACCGCGCGUCAGCAACAGUGCGGUGAAUACGUUCCCGGGUCUUGUACACACCGCCCGUCACGUCAUGGAAGUUGGCAACGCCUGAAGUCAGUGAGCUAACCCUCACGGGAGGCAACUGCCCAAGGUGGGGUCGGGUCGGUAACUGGGACGAAGUCGUAACAAGGUAACC
rnacentral:rRNA from 1 species